UGGCAAGAUGAGAGGGACAGUG
rnacentral:misc_RNA from 1 species